AAAUUUUCAAUAAAAUCUUAAAAAAAUAUCGCGAUAUUUAUCUAUAAGAAGAGAAUUUGUACAAUUGAAUUUCCUCUUUACAUUUUCCUCUUUUUACAUUACAAUAGCAAUGAUAAAAUCAUGAAUAUAAUUGUUUCAAUUGAUAAUCUUGUUGAGUAUAAUAAUAAUACUUUUCACAAUUUUAAAAACAUCCUAAAGCAAACACUCAUUUAUUACCUAUUUGGGUAACAAAAGGGCAAAAAAAAAAUAGAACAACGUGGAUGAUAUUCUCAAUUAAGUAAAGAAAAAAAUUCCGUCCAAACUUGUGAAAGAAACUAUAAUUAUGAGUGAUAAUUAUUAUGAAGAAUUUAUAUCUAUAUAAUUCAUAAUUAAAUAAGAGUCAUAAUGAUUGUAAUAACGUUAAUAUGCAAAGUAUUAUUUUAUCAACGAAGAUAAAUAGCAUAAACGGAUUAAAACGUGAUAUGAUUUAAAUGUAAUCGAUGCAGUAUCUAGAAAAAUUGUUGCCACCUCCACUGCGCAUAAUAAUGUAAUAAAUCACCAUCAACCCAA